AGUCGAACGGCAGCACGGGGCAACCUGGUGGCGAGUGGCGAACGGGUGAGUAAAGCAUCGGAACGUACCCUAGAGUGGGGGAUAACUAUCCGAAAGGAUAGCUAAUACCGCAUAUUCUAUGAGUAGGAAAGCGGGGGAUCCUCGGACCUCGCGCUCUAGGAGCGGCCGAUGUCAGAUUAGGUAGUUGGUGGGGUAACGGCCUACCAAGCCGACGAUCUGUAGCGGGUCUGAGAGGAUGAUCCGACACACUGGGACUGAGACACGGACCAGACUCCUACGGGAGGCAGCAGUGGGGAAUUUUGGACAAUGGGGGCAACCCUGAUCCAGCCAUGCCGCGUGAGUGAAGAAGGGCUUCGGGUUGUAGAGCUCUUUCGGCCGGGAAGAAAUCGUGUGGGCUACUACCCUGCAUGGAUGACGGUACCGGAAUAAGAAGCACCGGCUAACUACGUGCCGGCAGCCGCGGUAAUACGUAGGGUGCGAGCGUUAAUCGGAAUCACGGGGCGUAAAGCGUGCGCAGGCGGCUUUUAAGACAGGCGUGAAAUCCCCGGGCUUAACCUGGGAACUGCGCUUGUGACUGGAAGGCUAGAGUACGGCAGAGGGGGGUGGAAUUCCACGUGUAGCAGUGAAAUGCGUAGAGAUGUGGAGGAACACCGAUGGCGAAGGCAGCCCCCUGGGCCGAUACUGACGCUCAUGCACGAAAGCGUGGGGAGCAAACAGGAUUAGAUACCCUGGUAGUCCACGCCCUAAACGAUGUCGACUAGUUGUUGGGUGGGUAAAACCAUUUAGUAACGUAGCUAACGCGUGAAGUUGACCGCCUGGGGAGUACGGCCGCAAGGUUAAAACUCAAAGGAAUUGACGGGGACCCGCACAAGCGGUGGAUGAUGUGGAUUAAUUCGAUGCAACGCGAAAAACCUUACCUACCCUUGACAUGUUCAGAAUCCUGAAGAGAUUUGGGAGUGCCCGAAAGGGAGCUGGAACACAGGUGCUGCAUGGCUGUCGUCAGCUCGUGUCGUGAGAUGUUGGGUUAAGUCCCGCAACGAGCGCAACCCUUGUCGUUAAUUGCCAUCAUUAAGUUGGGCACUUUAACGAGACUGCCGGUGACAAACCGGAGGAAGGUGGGGAUGACGUCAAGUCCUCAUGGCCCUUAUGGGUAGGGCUUCACACGUCAUACAAUGGUCGGUACAGAGGGUUGCCAAGCCGCGAGGUGGAGCCAAUCCCAGAAAGCCGAUCGUAGUCCGGAUUGUAGGCUGCAACUCGCCUGCAUGAAGUCGGAAUCGCUAGUAAUCGCGGAUCAGCAUGUCGCGGUGAAUACGUUCCCGGGUCUUGUACACACCGCCCGUCACACCAUGGG
rnacentral:rRNA from 1 species